rnacentral:tRNA from 1 species
GGUGCCAUGGUGCAGGAGUUAGAGCACUGGUCUUGUGAAUCUGGGGUUGUGAGUUCAAGUCUCACUGGGAUCU